rnacentral:rRNA from 1 species
UACAGAGGGGGCUAGCGUUGUUCGGAAUUACUGGGCGUAAAGGGCGCGUAGGCGGCCUGUUAAGUCGAACGUGAAAUCCCCGGGCUCAACCCGGGAACUGCGUCCGAUACUGGCAGGCUUGAAUCCGGGAGAGGGAUGUGGAAUUCCAGGUGUAGCGGUGAAAUGCGUAGAUAUCUGGAGGAAUACCGGUGGCGAAGGCGGCAUCCUGGACCAUUACUGACGCUGAGGCGCGAAAGCUAGGGGAGCAAACGGG